UUUUAUUUCUAUAAAUACUAUUUCUUUGAUAAUAAAUAAUUUAGCACAAGGCUAACAAGCAGCAAUGAAUGGUCCCUAAAAUAACCCCAUGUUUAAAACUAGCACAUUGACACUGUAAAUUGAUGAGGGUGAUAGUUUUCCCAAAAAAAUCUCAAGAUUGCAGUUAGCAGUGGGAACUAUACUUCUGCAUGUGGCAAUCAUUUAUGAUUGUGUUAGAGCAUUCUGCUUUUGUGGUUAAUGGACUUGACUCCAGUUCCUGUUCUGCUCAGGCUCCCUCAUGUCUAAACUAACAGACCUGUACUGAAGUCAUUGGUGUCACCCAGAAUUUCACUGGGCUAAUUAUGAACAAUUUUGAACCCCUAUGGGUGUUACAGAAAGAAAUAUUGGCUUCCCAAUCCCAAAAAGAGAGAAACAACUUUAGUCUAUUCUCUUAAAUAAAUUAGGCUUUUGUGGUUACACACCAUGAGUAUGUGAGUGCAGAAAUGAUCUCAAAGGUCCAACAUUAAGUUCCAUGAAUACUCCACAAAUAUUAGCUCUUGGAAAGAAGACGAUUUUACUGCUAUAUCAGGAGGAAGCGUAACUGAACUCAGCAGGCCAUGGACAAAUGUGAGUCCAUGUGGUGAGAUACUAUAAAUGCCUUAACCAUGGGAUUAGAGUCAAUUGUAGUUUGCACUUAGAAGGCACCGGAAAAAAGAAACAGUCAAAAUAUUUAAGAUCAUGUGAAGACAGACUUCAUGGGCUCUUCUUUUCUGCAAGAGACAUAAAUUCAUCUCUUGUUCAACAUGGACAAGAGGCUACAAGACUGGACUGUCUUGGGAGCCAGUGGUAUGCCAGUAAAACACAGACUAUUUAACGGCCUUGGACCUGCUCCUCCUUCUCUAUAUCUUUCUUCUUUGGUGUUCCUGGCUCUCUAGAUAAUCUUGGUUUGUUUAUCAGAGCCUCAUGAAACCACAUUUCAGAAGGCAUACAUAACUCCGUUCUGCUCUCUGGAUUAACCUCAAAAGCAGUGCAAAUUGUUCAAUACCUUCCCCCAGAGGUUGCAAGAGUCUUCCUUUCUUGAAGACAUCUGUGUAAAAUUACACACGUGCUAGUGAUCUCAACAAGAACAACAUUUGUUAAAAACAAGGUGAAAAUUCAUUGAAAACAAAAGAAAUGUGUAUUUUGCCCUAAUUUAUCAGUUAUACUUCUGAUUGACUAUAUUAGAUAAGACACUCUCAACUAAGUUUCACAGAGGAAAAAAAAAAUUAGAAAUAAGUAGAUUAGCGAACAGCUUGCUUCAGUCUCCAGAGGGUUCUCUUGUUGCACAGCCAGACUGACAGUGUUGAGGCCACUGGCUCUCUGAACUAGUUUCCCCAGCCACUUAUCUGCAUAAGUUUGUAAACUCAUCGCUUCCUCUAGGACAAGUAGAACCCUUCACACUCCCAAACCAGCAUUAGUAAAAGCGGAGUUAUGAGAUGUAUAGGCAGUUGGUUUCAUUUGAUGCUUGUGCUAACACGUUAUCACUGAGUCACUGCUUGGCAGGGUCACAGUGGGAACCUGGGCUCUGUGGAAGUGGACGGGGGAUGCUCCAGUGAAAGACUCUUUAAUUAUGGAAAAAAACAGCCUCUUGAAAGUAUAAUGAUGAUUUCGGAGUCUCCAUUCUCAGGUUUGUUUCUUUGUUUGAACCUUGUUACAAACACCUCCAAACAAUUAUUUCUUCAUCCCCGAAAUAAAAACUGUUUUGUAAUUUGAAUAUUUAAAAACAAAACAAAACAAACAAAAAAAAAGCACAUAUAUAUUUCUAUGAGGAUUUUACUGAGGUAAAGCCAUAAAAAAGAUGAGUGCUCUGUAUAAUUCUAAAAUCUGCAAAGAUAGAAUCAUUUCUUGUGUCUCCUGUGGGGGAGGUAACCAAGCUGGGCACUUACCGUGAUGCUGAAAGGGUUUCCUUCCUCUUCCUCACACUUCCCCAAUUACCAUGGUCUGGUAGAGUCCAUGCACUCAAGGGUCAAAUCACUAAAUCAUGGCCAUAUGUCAUACUUAGAGCAGGACUGCAUCUACCCCUGCAGGUCCCACUGAUUCCACUUCCAUUUCUCUUCUGCAUGCAAAAACCUUUCUUUGGUGUCUGACAGUUCCCUCGGUCGAGCAGAACAGCCGUCAAGGGAGUUUGUUUGUGAAGAAACAAAAAUGAGUCACAGGCUAAAGAUUAAUUUAAUAAUCUAGAAACAGAUGCCCUUGAGGAUGUGUGGUCUAGUAGAGGAAACAGCAACUUCUAUGAUGCCUGUCUUUCUCCCAGCAAAAAUCACCUCUGUCUUGCUUCCGUGUGGCUUUGCCAGCUUGUCUUAAGGUAGGUACAGGUUUUGCCAGUUUAGAGACGUCUAGGCACAAAGAAAAUCUGUAAUUGUAGCAUUUCAGUCCUUUGAAUGAUUUUUUCUGUUUACAAAACUGCUUCAUUUCCAUGGAGCUCUACCAAAACAGAGUCUGUGCCUCUUUUCCAAGAUGGAUGUUGUUUCAUCACCUCUCUUUGAUGUUCUGUCAUGAAUAAGGUCUGCUCAGAAGAGCUAUCAAGCAAACAGCAUGUGAAGAGAAGAGAAGAGAAGAGAAGAGAAGAAUUAUCAAAGUACUUAAAAUGUGUUCAGCUAUGUCUGAUACCUAAUAACAUAUAUAUUGAUAUCCCAAAUUAAGAGCUAUACCUUCAAAUGUAGCUCUUUGUGAGCUUAUGCAGACAAUAGAAAUUCUGUUUGUUCACUAACCUUAAUGCUUAUGUACAGCAUUGCUCUGCACUGAUAUGAGAUUACAGUACACUACUGGUGCCAACAUUUGGGGUUGAAGAAAUUUAUUGAUCUGUAAGAUGUGAACUGAAAAUAGUUCAGAUGUGGCUGCUUUUGACUGUCAUUGUUGCAUAAGUAGUUUCAGGAAGACCUUGCAGUGAUGUCCUAACCAAAGGUCUCAGACUUUUUUGUCAAGAACACCAGUAAAAUCCCUGCCAAUAAAUAAAUAAACAAACAAACAAACAAACUGUUGUCACAUUUUCAUUCCAAUAUUUUGGCAGUUGUCAUUUUGCAUGUUGUAAGCCAAAAGCAUUGAAGAAUUAGAAUCUCUUCCUGUUUAACAUCUUACAUGUCUUUAAAUCACAAAAAAGAAAAAAGAAGAAAAACAAAACAGAUAACAACCAAACCCCUAUUUUUAGUCAGAUACAUAUUUGGGAUUUUUUUGAACAAGACUGCAUUUUGAACAUCAAAGUUUACUGAGAAUUAGGAUUAAUUUGCUAGUGGAAAAAGAGUUGUAGCUUUUAUACUAAGCAUUCAACAGGUAAGG